UCCUAGCUGUAAACGAUCUGUACUAGUCCGUGGGAACUUCCACAUUUUCUCGGACGUAGCGAAAGUGUUAAGUACAGCGCCUGGGGAGUAUGGUCGCAAGGCUGAAACUCAAAGGAAUUGACGGGGGCUCACACAAGCGGUGGAGGAUGUGGCUUAAUUCGAGGAUACGCGAAGAACCUUACCUAGGCUUAACAUGUUUGAGAACGUCUGUGAAAGCAGAAAGUGCCCUUCGGGGAACUCUUACGUAGGUGCUGCAUGGCUGUCGUCAGCCCGUGUCGUG
rnacentral:rRNA from 1 species